rnacentral:lncRNA from 1 species
AAGAACCAAGGUGAUGUCAGUCUCCUGCCUUGGCCAGGGGAAUGGGUCCCUGAGGUGAGGUAAAUCCCUCUGUGGCAGUGCGUAUGGCAGCUCCAGUCUGAUCUCUUAAGGAGAUUGACAGGAUGGCCUCCAAAUGCCCGGAUUCCCAGAGAACCAACAAAGAUAAAGAAAGCUCAGGCUGAGUCCUGGAGAACAAGCAGGGAAUCACGGCCUCAGACCUGCCACAAUGGUGUGCAGGGCCUUGCCAACAGUAGGAAUUGAGACAUAUUGCUGUCCCCAGCACAUAGGAGGAUGCCAAGAGAAACCAACAGACACCGCGAAGCUCCUGCUACAUCAAAACUUAACCAGAACCUGGCUCAAAAGGGUACCGAGAACAAGAGGCCUAGGUGUCCAGCUGUGGAUCUCGCGCAGCGCCCUAUCCCAUGACUACCUUACCCUCCCUCAUCUGCCUCUCCCUGCUACAGAACCGCUGUCAUUUUUUUUUUGUUUGUUUUGACAUGGUGUUUUGUCUUGUUACCUGGGCUGGAGUGCAAUGGCGCAAUCUCCGAUCACCGCAGCCUCUGCCUCCUGGGUUCAAGCAAUUUUUCUGUCUUAGCCUCCCAAGAAGCUGCGAUUACAGAACACCCGGUUAAUUUUUGUAGUUUUAGUUGAGACGGAAUUUCAUCAAAUUGGUCAGGCUGGUCUCAAACUCCUGACCUAAGGUGAUGGGCCAACAUCAGCCUCCCAAAAUGCUAGGAUUACAGACGUGAGCCAUGGAGCCCGGCCCGCCGUCUGUAUUUUUUUUUUUUCAGACGGAGUUUCGCUCUUGUUACCCAGGCUGGAGUGCCAUGGCGCAAUCUCGGCUGACCGCAACCUCCGCCUCCUGGGUUCAGGCAAUUCUCCUGUCUCAGCCUCCUGAGUAGCUGGGACUACAGGCACGAACCACCAUGCCCAGCUAAUUUUUUGUAUUUUUAGUAGAGACGGGGUUUCACCUUGUCGACCAGGAUGGUCUCGAUCUCUUGACCUCGUGAUCCACCCUCCUCGGCCUCAGAAAGUGCUGGGAUUACAGGCGUGAGCCACCGCGCCCGGCCCCGCCCUCUGUUUUUAAAGCGGCCGCAGCCUGACUUCCAUGAACGCAGCAGCGAAGUCAGCCUAGCCAAUGCGGAAGCAGGA